AACGAACGCUGGCGGCAGGCCUAACACAUGCAAGUCGAACGCUCGUAGCAAUACGAGAGUGGCAGACGGGUGAGUAACACGUGGGAACCUUCCCUAUGGUUCGGAAUAGCCCAGGGAAACUUGGGGUAAUACCGGAUAAGCCCUUCGGGGAAAGGAUUUAUCGCCAUUGGAUGGGCCCGCGUCGGAUUAGCUAGUUGGUGGGGUAACGGCCGUACCAAGGCGACGAUCCGUAGCUUGUCUGAGAGGAUGAUCAGCCACACUGGGACUGAGACACGGCCCAGACUCCUACGGGAGGCAGCAGUGGGGAAUAUUGGACAAUGGGGGCGAACCCUGAUCCAGCGACGCCGCGUGUGUGAAGAAGGCCUGCGGGUUGUAAAGCACUUUUAG
rnacentral:rRNA from 1 species